rnacentral:tRNA from 1 species
GCCCGAGUAGCUCAGUUGGCAGAGCAGCUGUCUUGUAAACAGCAGGUCGCAGGUUCGACUCCUGUCUCGGGC